UGGCAAGGUAACGGCUCACCAAGGCAACAAUCCUUACGGGUUCUGAAAGGAAGGUCCCCCCCACUGGCACUGAAAUACGGGCCAAACUCCUACGGGAGGCACCAUUAGGGAAUAUUGGUCAAUGGGCGAGAGCCUGAACCACCCAUGCCGCGUGCAGGAAGACGGCUUUCUGCGUUGUAAACUGCUUUUAUCUGGGAAGAAAAAGCCCUUGCGAGGGAAAUUGCCGGUACCAUAACAAUAAGCACCGGCUAACUCCGUGCCAGCAGCCGCGGUAAUACGGAGGGUGCAAGCGUUGUCCGGAUUUAUUGGGUUUAAAGGGUGCGUAGGCGGCUGAUUAAGUCAGCGGUGAAAGUUCUCGGCUCAACCGAGAGACUGCCGUUGAUACUGGUUAGCUUGAGUUAUGGACGGGUACAUGGAAUUUAUGGUGUAGCGGUGAAAUGCAUAGAUACCAUAAGGAACACCGAUCGCGAAGGCAUUGUACUGGCCAUAAACUGACGCUGAGGCACGAAAGCGUGGGUAGCGAACAGGAUUAGAUACCCUGGUAGUCCACGCCGUACACGAUGAUCACUCGCUUUACAUUACGU
rnacentral:rRNA from 1 species